ensembl:lncRNA
UUUAUAUAUAACAGAUAUAUGCAAGGCCAUCAAUCUAAAUAUUUAAUCUUGAAUUUCUCUUGUAAAUUUAGCCACUCAUUUUACAUGAUACAAGUCAAACUUGCAAACAGUUAAACAUUUUUCUUGUUUAUUUUUAUAACCAGUUCCAGAUUUUAGAACAAUUAUAAGUGUAACUUAAUGUGUGUGUGUGUGUGUGUGUGUGUGUGUGUGUAUAUAUAUAUAUAUAAUCUCGUUUAAAUUAGAUUCGGAUUUGUUCGCGGUGUGUGUGUGUGUGUGUGUGUGUGUGUGUGUGUUUAGGCCCCGGUCAAGUACUGAACGUAGAGGGGCACGUGAAGAUCGUUCUGUAAUCUGAUGCCGUUGAAAAUGUGCUCAGCCCCCCAAAAUCUGUCCGGGGAAAAAACCAGCAGCAUCUCUAAUGACUGCACCAGUACAGGCCAAAGAGAGACCCGUCCCUUAACACUGGCUUUCAGUUUACUUUCACACUAAAUAAAGUAGUUUAAUUUUUUUUUAAAAAGAAAGAAAAGAAAGAAAAGAAAAAAAAGCAUGUAUUCUGCGGGCGGGUUUAUAAAGAAACAGAGAAUAGAUGUGACCUAAAUUCAUUCACUUUGAGAAUUGAAAGGACGAAGUUUUCACAUUGAGCGUAACGUCACGGAACUCAACCUCAGAAGCACAAAAUUAAAUACAAACACACAGUGACAACAGCGGUUCUUUCGGUAUUGUACUUAGUCUUUGCUCGUUACUUUACGCUAAUUGGCGUUUUGCGUGUGUGACAUUUUCUCCAACGCUGUUCAUUUUUCCAAAAAUUUUGUUUCACAACACACACACACACACACACACACACACUCACACACACACACGAAGCAAUCCAGCAGACAAAGCCACAUUUUCUCAAACUUACGGUUCCGAAUGCGGUUUUUCCCCUGUCGAAAAUGUUUUAACUUUUCCGAACUUUCCGCUUCACUUUUUUCUUGCUUGUCGGAAAUUUGCUGCUCUCGAAGCUUUCCGCCUGAACUGGACAGGAGUUAACCGACUUUUCUUGUCUUGGUCCUCUCCCCCUUUUCUUCUCCGGGACGCACUAACGUUUGCAACUUUCUCUACAUGCCUGCCAGAACAUUAAAAACCAAAGCAAGCGCGCGCACGCACACAGUGAGAGAGAGAGAGAGAGAGAGAGAGAGAGAUUCCUAAAGCUUUAUGCCAACAAAGAGUGUGGUUUCGAGCGUUGUGGCUACUUUAUGUGGAGUGUGCAACUCCAGCUGCCCUUUCCUUCGUCUGACUCCUCCCUCGGCGCGUACACACACACGCGCACACUAGCUCCCUUUCUACCC